rnacentral:lncRNA from 1 species
CAUUAAAAAUUGCACCUUUCUUUUUCUUCUUUCUACGGUAACUGUGAGGAUUACAGCCUGCAGUAAAAUGCUGCUGAGAAUGAGAAGAGGCUUUAUCUCACCGGUCUGGUGACUGCUGAGGUGAAAUGACAUAAGUUCAGGUUGAAAUGUUGAAAAUUUCAGCCCACCCAUAGGAUUGUCAUCAUAUCUAAGCAUAAUGGCAAGAAUUUCUGUAACACCUGGCCAUGAAAACUGAUUGUUAUCCAGUAUUUAUCACCCAGAAGAAUUUACCUUAUUUUGGCUACUUGUGAUGAAGAUGGAAUUGUGCAGCGAUAGAAACCCAAAGUUCCCGAAUUUCUGAUAGAACAGCACCACCUGGCGGAUCCCGGCGUGGAGGGGGCUGGCGAGGGGCGUUCUGUUUUAGCUGCUGCAUCUCUCUCAUUACCAUAGAUGGCAGCUAAUAACGAUGAAUAACUGUAGGUUCCGAGUCAGCUUGGAAUAGUACUGAUUUUUUUUUUUUUUUUGU